GAGGGUAUAGCUCAGUGGUAGAGCACAUGCUUAGCAUGCAUGAGGUCCUGAGUUCAAUCCCCAGUACCUCCA
rnacentral:tRNA from 1 species